rnacentral:rRNA from 1 species
GUGGGGAAUAUUGGACAAUGGGCGAAAGCCUGAUCCAGCCAUGCCGCGUGUGUGAAGAAGGUCUUCGGAUUGUAAAGCACUUUAAGUUGGGAGGAAGGGCAGUAAGUUAAUACCUUGCUGUUUUGACGUUACCGACAGAAUAAGCACCGGCUAACUUCGUGCCAGCAGCCGCGGUAAUACGAAGGGUGCAAGCGUUAAUCGGAAUUACUGGGCGUAAAGCGCGCGUAGGUGGUUUUGUAAGUUGGAGGUGAAAUCCCCGGGCUCAACCUGGGAACUGCAUCCAAAACUGCAUGACUAGAGUACUGUAGAGGGUAGUGGAAUUUCCUGUGUAGCGGUGAAAUGCGUAGAUAUAGGAAGGAACACCAGUGGCGAAGGCGACUACCUGGACUGAUACUGACACUGAGGUGCGAAAGCGUGGGGAGCAAACAGGAUUAGAUACCCUUGUAGUCC